UUCGCGCGCGGUUUUAUAUUCCAUAAUACGAACGACCGUCAGAAACGAAAAUAAAUGAUUUUAAAUAAUUUUUCCAUUUAUUCUGCUCGCGCGGUGACGUCGUCGAGGACAACGACUGUCCCGCAGCAACAGCUGCAGUUUUCUUCAUAAACCUUUUUUUCGUAUUUUUUUUUUUUUUCUAUAUUCCGAACGUAUCUGCCUAUAAUAAAUUAUAUGUGGUGAUGGGAAAGCUUCUUUUACGCCAAAGAGACGCGGUUUUCUUAUAUGCGUCGUAUAUGAGUUUUCCGCUCGGCAGUAGGUACCGAAUCAUCACAAGACUUCCGAGGAUUCGCCGGCACUCGCAAUUUGAUUUUCGGAGGGAAAGGGUUACUUUUUAGGUAAUCCACAUAAGCUUCGUUUAAUUGUUUUGCGAUUGAUCUGCAGUGGAAAACGUUCGUCUUGCCAUCACGGUUUGCAUUUAUUGGAAGAGGCUG